rnacentral:lncRNA from 10 species
CAAGGCCAGCUGUGUGCCAAUGCAGUUACCCCAGAAUCCCUUGUUCCAGUACAAUGUAUUAGGGAGGUCAGAUAAGAGUUGUUUGGGGUCGAGGCAGGUUCCAGUCACUGCUCUGGGAGGGUCCCUCAGCUUGGCACUGUGGGGUGGUUGAUGGAGACGGAUGGGAAGAGCAGGGGUGUCCCGAGGGGAGACAGAGGGCAUCCUGUUAGGACAUCGGGCCUGUCAAGGCAUCUGAAGGCCUGGAAAGGGGGUUCAGCCCUACCUCUCCUCCUUCUAGGUCACACUGGGGGGCCUCUGUGCCAUUAUCCCACCUCUCCACUGUCCUACUCAGCUUAGGAGUGGGGAGGAGCCUAAAGCCACCCCAUUUAGGGCACUGAUUGGUGUGUGGCCUCCAGAGUCCUUCUCCCUUCUUACCUGCUCUGAAGGCACCUCUCAAUGUCCAUCUGUCCUUCGUGCGACCAUUUCUCCAGCAAACACUGGUAUUUGUGAGCCAGCCCUCUUGCUCAGACCUUCAGGACAAACUGGCAGCAGAAUGGGAUUAUUGCCUGCCUCCCAGGACCUGCCUAGGAUGUCUGGGGCGCUAGGAGCUAGGGGUGAGGGAGGCAGGUGUGGGGGGCCCCACCAGACCCUUCUAGGGCUCUGAGUCACUCAUAGCCCCUGGAUGCAACCUCAACCAGCGACUAACAGUCAUCUCUCUCUCUUUUUUUUUUGAGCUGGAGCCUCACUCUCGCCCAGGCUGGAGUGCAGUGGCGCGAUCUCGGCUCACAAUAACCUCUGCCGCCUGGGUUCAAGCCAUUCUCCUACCUCAGCCUCCAGAAUAGCUGGGAUUAUAGGCACCUGCCACUGCGCCCAACUAAUUUUUGUAGUUUUAGUAGAGACGGGGUUUCACCAUCUUGGCCAGACUGGUCUUGAACUCCUGAC